AGCAGCCGCGGUAAUUCCAGCUCCAAUAGCGUAUAUUAAAGUUGUUGCAGUUAAAAAGCUCGUAGUUGAAUUUCGGGAUCGACGGGUCGGUCGCGCCUCUGGUGUGUACUGGCCCUGUCGGUUUCUCCCUUCUGAAGAACCGCGAUGUCAUUAAUUUGGUGUCGUGGGAAAUCAGGACUGUUACUUUGAAAAAAUUAGAGUGUUUAAAGCAGGCAUUCGCUUGAAUACAUUAGCAUGGAAUAAUGAAAUAGGACGUUUGAUCUUAUUUUGUUGGUUUCUAAGAUCGACGUAAUGAUUAAUAGGGAUAGUUGGGGGCAUUAGUAUUCAAUUGUCAGAGGUGAAAUUCUUGGAUUUAUUGAAGACUAACUACUGCGAAAGCAUUUGCCAAGGAUGUUUUCAUUAGUCAAGAACGAAAGUUAGGGGAUCGAAGACGAUCAGAUACCGUCGUAGUCUUAACCAUAAACUAUGCCGACUAGGGAUCGGAUGAUGUUAAUUUUUAAUGACUCAUUCGGCGCCUUAC
rnacentral:rRNA from 1 species